AGCGAACGCUGGCGGCAGGCUUAACACAUGCAAGUCGAGCGGGCCUUUCGGGGUCAGCGGCAGACGGGUGAGUAACGCGUGGGAACGUACCUUCUGGUCUGGAAUAACCCUGGGAAACUAGGGCUAAUACCGGAUACGCCCUUUUGGGGAAGGUUUACUGCCGGAAGAUCGGCCCGCGUCUGAUUAGCUAGUUGGUGGGGGAACGGCCUACCAAGGCGACGAUCAGUAGCUGGUCUGAGAGGAUGAUCAGCCACACUGGGACUGAGAGACGGCCCAGACUCCUACGGGAGGCAGCAGUGGGGAAUAUUGGACAAUGGGCGCAAGCCUGAUCCAGCCAUGCCGCGUGAGUGAUGAAGGCCUUAGGGUUGUAAAGCUCUUUUAUCCGGGACGAUAAUGACGGUACCGGAGGAAUAGGCCCCGGCUAACUUCGUGCCAGUAGCCGCGGUAA
rnacentral:rRNA from 1 species